UUUUUUCGAAACAAAUCAUACUAAUCGUAUGUGUAGUACACUUUUUAUGUCUAAUUCACUUGGGAACCAAAUAGAAAAGAGAAGAGGAAGAGAUGUGGGGGAGGAAAGUGGGUUACCUCCGCUUAAACCCAGCUACCAAAUUUGUAGAAAUAUCCUGAUUGAUGUGAAAAUACAAAAUAGGCUGCUGCAAUUUCUUAAGUCUAGACAUAAAAUCCAUCAAAACAAUCAAUUUUAACAGCUAAUGAGUAUACAUAUUUGCAUAAACAAAAACAAGAUGCGCUUUUUAG
rnacentral:lncRNA from 1 species